rnacentral:rRNA from 1 species
AUUGAACGCUGGCGGCAUGCUUUACACAUGCAAGUCGAACGGUAACAGGCCGCAAGGUGCUGACGAGUGGCGAACGGGUGAGUAAUGCAUCGGAACGUGCCCAGUCGUGGGGGAUAACGCAGCGAAAGCUGCGCUAAUACCGCAUACGAUCUAUGGAUGAAAGCGGGGGACCGUAAGGCCUCGCGCGAUUGGAGCGGCCGAUGUCAGAUUAGGUAGUUGGUGGGGUAAAGGCUCACCAAGCCAACGAUCUGUAGCUGGUCUGAGAGGACGACCAGCCACACUGGAACUGAGACACGGUCCAGACUCCUACGGGAGGCAGCAGUGGGGAAUUUUGGACAAUGGGCGCAAGCCUGAUCCAGCAAUGCCGCGUGCAGGAAGAAGGCCUUCGGGUUGUAAACUGCUUUUGUACGGAACGAAACGGCGAGCUCUAAUACAGUUUGCUAAUGACGGUACCGUAAGAAUAAGCACCGGCUAACUAC